GUACUUCAAUUUUGUAAGUCGCUUUGGACAAAAGCGUCUGCCAAAUGAAAUGUA
rfam:Astyanax mexicanus Tnplaced_Scaffold3944, whole genome shotgun sequence.